rnacentral:sRNA from 1 species
GAGCGGUCUUCAGCGCGGUUAGCAGCCAGCGUGUAAGCGGCCUUGGCCGUGAUGGUCGCUCUUUGACCAUUGCGGCCAAGGUUCUUACACGCUGGCUGCUGCGCUGAAGAGCGCGUUAUA